rnacentral:tRNA from 1 species
GGGAUUGUGGCUCAGUGGUAGAGUGCUUGCCUAGCAUGCAUGAGACCCUGGGUUCGAUUCUCAGCACCA